UUAAUGGUUUUUUUGAAAACCAUCCCCAAAAGUCAAGAAAAUUGAAG
rfam:Picea glauca, whole genome shotgun sequence.